UACGGGGGGGGCAAGCGUUGUUCGGAAUUACUGGGCGUAAAGGGCUCGUAGGUUGCCAACUAAGUCAGACGUGAAAUCCCUCGGCUUAACCGGGGAACUGCGUCUGAUACUGGAUGGCUUGAGUUCGGGAGAGGGAUGCGGAAUUCCAGGUGUAGCGGUGAAAUGCGUAGAUAUCUGGAGGAACACCGGUGGCGAAGGCGGCAUCCUGGACCGAUAUUGACGCUGAUGCGCGAAAGCCAGGGGAGCAAACGGG
rnacentral:rRNA from 1 species